UACAACUACGAUUUUUGAUGGAAUAUUUACAUGGAUUGUGCCUAACUAGGUCAAGAAUAUAUGAUCCACAAAUGACAAUGCCAAAUAGACUCCCUCCUGUUCUCAUAACAUACUGAAGUUGAGGUUUCACUGGACCUCAAGCCAUUCCUCUUGCUGCCCAUCACCCAGAAACUAAUGUUUGGCCUGAAGGAAGAAUCAUGGUAAAACAUCCAAAAUCAUCAAGUCUUUCCCUGGACAAACAGGAAGGUGCGCCGAGCUCUUGGAGAAGUUGCUGAACAUCCUAAAGACUUUUGGGCAGAUGGAAAAGGGCUUGUCUGUCAAAUGCUUUUCAAUCGCCAAGAAGUUUGAGGUACCUGGAGAAUGCUUCCUCCUGUUCAUCCUCAUCCUGCUCUCAUGGCCUUUGUUAUCUGCACCAGUCCAUCUCUACACACCCCCAUGUACAUUUUUCUGAUGAACUUACGUAUCCUGAAAUUUGGUUACACUAGUUCUGUCAUACACAAUAUAUGGAGAGACUUGAAAGUGAGAUCUGAGGAAUCUCUCAGGGGGGAUGUGCCACACAGACGUUUUUCUUCACACUUUUUGUAUAAUUCAUUGCUGCCUAUUGCCAGCCAUGGCCUUUGUCCACUGUAUGGCCCUGCUUCAUUCUGCAGCCCAAAUGAGUAGUGAGAUGACAGAUAUCCUCCUAAUGCUUACCUGCGAUAAGCGAAGCAAGAAACACUUUGUGGUAUCUGUGUCAAGUACAUAUAAUCUCAACCUAAAAGAGGAAAACCACUGGGCAAAUCCAAAUUCAGAGACAUUCUUGCAAGUUAUCAGCUAUCAGCUAUCAGCUUGACAAAAGUGGAAGAACCCAUGAACAAAAAUAUCCUUGUAAUGUACGUAGAGAAAAUUGAUCAGAGAAGAAGGAAUACAUAUAGCAACCUUCCUGGAUUCAACACAAUAGAGCCUACAUUCCUGUAGUGUAUUCUUCAUGAGUUUAUAGAGUUUAUGGGCUAAUACCUGGAAAAGAACUCCUACAAAAACCAGCAGCAAAUUAACCACAAACUGCAAUAUUUAUACAAGCCAAAGAAAUAUGUGUAAAGUAUUAUUUUCAGCUCUAUAUGAGAAUAUUAAUGUUUUUUAAUUCAUAUAGUAAUAAAAUUUUAAUUUCAUUUCUGCAAAUUUUUAUUGCAAUUUUUUAAUAAAUAGAUUUUAAGUGACUCAUGUGAUCAUUAACUUUUAGUGGUUUUGAUUGCACUAUAGAACAAUAAAGUGUUUAUUUGACUGUGAUCAUUACUAUGAAUAUUCACGAAAAUCAAAUUAUGUCAACCAGGAACUGCUCUUCUGUUUUUAUACUUUUUGUUGUACAUAUGCUUGUUCACAUGUGCAACACAUGCAUGCCUACUGUCCAGGAGGUUGAAGAAGGUGUGAGGUUCCGUGAUGCUGAAAUUACAGCCACUUGUGAGCUGUCAACAGGUUCUCUGGAAGAACAGAUAAUGCUAUUAAUCACCGAAUCAUUCAUUCAUCUGCAGCAAACACCAUUUUUUGUAAAU